rnacentral:rRNA from 1 species
GACGAACGCUGGCGGCGUGCUUAACACAUGCAAGUCGAACGCGCCUGUCCUCUGGGUUUCUGGGGGGUGGGUGAGUGGCGAACGGGUGAGUAACACGUGAGUAACCUGCCCCCUUCUUCGGGAUAACGGUCUGAAAGGGCUGCUAAUACCGGGUAUUCACUGGUCUCCGUAUGGGGUCUGGUGGAAAGGUUUUUUUCUGGUGGGGGAUGGGCUCGCGGCCUAUCAGCUUGUUGGUGGGGUGAUGGCCCACCAAGGCUUUGACGGGUAGUCGGCCUGAGAGGGUGACCGGUCACAUUGGAACUGAGAUACGGCCCAGAGUCCUACGGGAGGCAGCAGUGGGGGAUAUUGCACAAUGGGCGAAAGCCUGAUGCAGCGGCGCCGCGUGAGGGAUGGAGGCCUUCGGGUUGUGAACCUCUUUCGCCCGUGGUGAAGCCGCGACGUGGGUCGUGGUGAGGGUAGUGGGUAAAGAAGCGCCGGCUAACUACGUG